rnacentral:rRNA from 1 species
UACAGAGGGUGCUAGCGUUAUUCGGAAUUACUGGGCGUAAAGCGCGCGCGGGCUGUUUGGCAAGUCUACUGUGAAAGCCUCCGUUUCAAGCGGAGAAGUGCAGUAGAUACUACCAGACUAGAGUGCAGGAGGGAGGAGCGGAAUUCCAGGUGUAGAGGUGAAAUUCGUAGAUAUCUGGAGGAACAACGGUGGCGAAGGCGGCUCCUUGGACUGUUACUGACGCUGAGGCGCGAAAGCGUGGGGAGCAAACAGG